rfam:Felis catus isolate Cinnamon breed Abyssinian chromosome D3, whole genome shotgun sequence.
GCCUGGGUGGCUCAGGGGGUUAAGCGUCUGACUUCAGCUCAGGUCAUGAUCUCACAGUUCGUGAGUUCAAGCCCCACAUCGGGCU